GACGAACGCUGGCGGCGUGCUUAACACAUGCAAGUCGAACGGAAAGGCCCUGCUUUUGUGGGGUGCUCGAGUGGCGAACGGGGGAGUAACACGUGAGUAACCUGCCCUUGACUGUGGGAUAACUUCAGGAAACUGGGGCUAAUACCGGAUAGGAGCUCCUGCUGCAUGGUGGGGGUUGGAAAGUUUCGGCGGUUGGGGAUGGACUCGCGGCUUAUCAGCUUGUUGGUGGGGUAGUGGCUUACCAAGGCUUUGACGGGUAGCCGGCCUGGGAGGGUGACCGGCGACAUUGGGACUGAGAUACGGCGCAGACUCGUACGGGAGGCAGCGGUGGGGAGUAUUACACAAUGGGCGGAAGCCUGAUGCGGAAACGCCGCGUGCGGGAUGACGGCCUUCGGGUUGUAAACCGCUUUCGCCUGUGACGAAGCGUGAGUGACGGUAAUGGGUAAAGAAGCACCGGCUAACUACGUG
rnacentral:rRNA from 1 species